rnacentral:ncRNA from 2 species
AUUGUAGGAUGAGCGUCCGGCCUUGUAUCACAAGUCAAAAGGGAAUCCAGUGUAAAUCUGGAGCUGACGCGCAGCGGUAAGGAAUGCCCGAGCGAUAGCAUUAUUGCAGACACUGUUAUGUACUCUAAAUAUUUCGAGUUGUAGGACAAAACGUUAACGUUUUGAACAGCGCACAUGCAACUUGAAGUAUGCUGGGUAUCGAUGGGAAGUCAUCGCUUUCGUUGUAUCCCCUACUGUUGUUGACGGUUUGUGGUAACAACGGCAUCCAAGCCCGAAGACCUGCCGGAAUACGUCGCAAUUG